UGUAAGCAUGGUAACAUGUUCAGCUGACCGAUACUAAUAGAUCGAGGGCUUGACCAAA
rnacentral:rRNA from 1 species